rnacentral:rRNA from 1 species
GGUGACAGCCCCGUACACAAAAAUGCACAUGCUGUGAGCUCGAUGAGUAGGGCGGGACACGUGGUAUCCUGUCUGAAUAUGGGGGGACCAUCCUCCAAGGCUAAAUACUCCUGACUGACCGAUAGUGAACCAGUACCGUGAGGGAAAGGCGAAAAGAACCCCGGCGAGGGGAGUGAAAAAGAACCUGAAACCGUGUACGUACAAGCAGUGGGAGCACGCUUAGGCGUGUGACUGCGUACCUUUUGUAUAAUGGGUCAGCGACUUAUAUUCUGUAGCAAGGUUAACCGAAUAGGGGAGCCGAAGGGAAACCGAGUCUUAACUGGGCGUUAAGUUGCAGGGUAUAGACCCGAAACCCGGUGAUCUAGCCAUGGGCAGGUUGAAGGUUGGGUAACACUAACUGGAGGACCGAACCGACUAAUGUUGAAAAAUUAGCGGAUGACUUGUGGCUGGGGGUGAAAGGCCAAUCAAACCGGGAGAUAGCUGGUUCUCCCCGAAAGCUAUUUAGGUAGCGCCUCGUGAAUUCAUCUCCGGGGGUAGAGCACUGUUUCGGCAAGGGGGUCAUCCCGACUUACCAACCCGAUGCAAACUGCGAAUACCGGAGAAUGUUAUCACGGGAGACACACGGCGGGUGCUAACGUCCGUCGUGAAGAGGGAAACAACCCAGACCGCCAGCUAAGGUCCCAAAGUCAUGGUUAAGUGGGAAACGAUGUGGGAAGGCCCAGACAGCCAGGAUGUUGGCUUAGAAGCAGCCAUCAUUUAAAGAAAGCGUAAUAGCUCACUGGUCGAGUCGGCCUGCGCGGAAGAUGUAACGGGGCUAAACCAUGCACCGAAGCUGCGGCAGCGACGCUUAUGCGUUGUUGGGUAGGGGAGCGUUCUGUAAGCCUGUGAAGGUGUGCUGUGAGGCAUGCUGGAGGUAUCAGAAGUGCGAAUGCUGACAUAAGUAACGAUAAAGCGGGUGAAAAGCCCGCUCGCCGGAAGACCAAGGGUUCCUGUCCAACGUUAAUCGGGGCAGGGUGAGUCGACCCCUAAGGCGAGGCCGAAAGGCGUAGUCGAUGGGAAACAGGUUAAUAUUCCUGUACUUGGUGUUACUGCGAAGGGGGGACGGAGAAGGCUAUGUUGGCCGGGCGACGGUUGUCCCGGUUUAAGCGUGUAGGCUGGUUUUCCAGGCAAAUCCGGAAAAUCAAGGCUGAGGCGUGAUGACGAGGCACUACGGUGCUGAAGCAACAAAUGCCCUGCUUCCAGGAAAAGCCUCUAAGCAUCAGGUAACAUCAAAUCGUACCCCAAACCGACACAGGUGGUCAGGUAGAGAAUACCAAGGCGCUUGAGAGAACUCGGGUGAAGGAACUAGGCAAAAUGGUGCCGUAACUUCGGGAGAAGGCACGCUGAUAUGUAGGUGAAGUCCCUCGCGGAUGGAGCUGAAAUCAGUCGAAGAUACCAGCUGGCUGCAACUGUUUAUUAAAAACACAGCACUGUGCAAACACGAAAGUGGACGUAUACGGUGUGACGCCUGCCCGGUGC